CCACUUUCUUGUUUUUUGUUUUUCUUUAAUGGACAUGACAUACUUAUUAUAUCAUGAAAAUGUCAAAUUUGCCCCUGAAGUAUGUGAAAUGGUCUAGAUAUGCCCUCCAUUAACAAUUUGGGUCGAUCAUGUCCAUGCCGUUACAGAAUUGGUCUACAUGCCCUUAUUGAUGCAGAACGGUUGAAUCAAACUAAUUAGUACUAUUAAUUGCCUUGUCUCCAACACGUGGCUUGAAUCCAACCCUUUAGUUACCCCUUUACCACCCCUUAACUUUUUACCCAGCCUCCAUUCAACCUCCCAAUCCUCCACGUUCAAGAUCACCAUCACUGGCGGUCAAGAGUAAAAAUACUUGCAAGAGGUGUAUCUUGACCUCCUUCUUUUUCCUUUCACCAGAUCACCCUUUUGGUGAAAUUUCACAUGAUCUUCCUUUUUUGUUCUUAUUACUCGCUCUGGUCCAUUUCAUAUGCAAUAAGGCUGUGAAGAUUUUGUCUUCUGUAGAAGAUGAACCAAACAUGUUUCUUUUUGAGCUGAAAAAAGUGUAGCUUGGCGUGGCAGCUCAUUGGGCCUAUGAGAUUUUGGAAAAAAUUCAUUUACGUGUUUCUUCUGUCUCAUGAGCCUACUUAAUGCUUGCAGCUUUGACGGAUUUCAAAGCUUUUUGUUUUUUGUCAAAGAAAAGGUUAAUAUGAGCUACCCCAUUAUGGCGAUUUUUUGGUUUUUGUCUGCAAAAAACUGUAGCUUGGCGUGGCAGCUCAGCCAUAUGACGGAUCUCAAUUUUUUUGGGUUUUUGUCUGAGAAGGUUAACAUGAGCUACCCCAUUAUGGUGAUUUUUUGGUUUUUAUCUGAAAAAACUGUAGCUUGGCGUGGUAGCUCAGCCAUGAUGAAUUUCAAAGCUUUUUGGUUUUUGUCUGAGACAAGGUUAAUAUGAGCUGCCCCAUUACGGU